rnacentral:lncRNA from 10 species
AAGAGACCAUAGGAGCGUCAGGGGAACACUCUCUCCUGCGAGAAUUGAGAAUGGGCGGGGGCCAGGCCUUCUAGUAGCAGGCCUGAGGAGGCCUCCCCUCCUGGGCUCCAGAUUACUCCACUGUCCCUGUCACCACAGGAGAAGCACCUCCGGCCGCAUCCUACCUCCCUGGGGUGAGGUAAGAGUGACCCUGCCUCAUCCUAAUACUCAGUCCUCACCAGCACACCCAAAAUAGACUGUGCAUGUUUACCCUCAGCCCGAACUCAAGACAGACACAGUGGUAGCACAGUGCAAACACAGGCAGGAAGACAAGACCCUGGCUCCAGCCUGCCCCUCUCCAGACCCCCCAUCCCUGACCUCUGCCACCUUCCCUAGGCCCCGUGGAUCUCCCCUGUCUUCCCCACCUUCCUACCCCAUCCUCCUCAGUUGUCCUAGCACUGAUUAUUGUACUUUCCAUCAAGAGCUGGAAGGGUCUUGGAGAGGGUCUGCUCCACCCUUCCUACUCUGCAUCUGGGGAAAGUGAGGCCCAGGGAAAGGAAGCAGCUUGCACAAAGCCAUGGGGGUUAAUUAGUCAAAACAAACCUCACCUAGGGAGGCCCACAAUUUCCCAUCCAGUGCUUUCUUACUGCAUUUCAGCCUCCAUCAUAUACCUCCUUUAUCCUUUAAACACGCUGUUUGUAGGAGCACUGGGCUAGGAGUCCAAGCUAGGGUGCAGUACUGCCUCUGUCAUAACUGCAUGUGACGUCAUCCUUAGGGCCUCAGUUUUCUCAGCUCUAAAAUGGGCAUUAAAGAUUUCCUUCCAGUUGGAAAAAAAAAAAAGUUAAUAUGUGAGAAAAUGUAGUUGGGAAACCAGUCCUGGGCCCAAAUCUCAGCUGACUGCCAGUGAAUAACAUGAAAACGAAAACAUCCUUAAACAACACACAUGUUAAAUUAAUUAAAAGAGAUGAAAAUAGUACGAGGCAAUGUUGGCCCAGCUGGGAGGAAACGGGAACAUUGGCUCCUAAAUUCUCCACAGCUCUAUUGUUUGGGCUAUAGCAAAAUGUAACAGCAGCAGCUACUGCCGGAGAGAACAACUCAUGCCCUUCGGCUUGGCAGGUUAUCACACAUUUGGAAAUAAAUCUCAAAGAAAUAACACAAAUGGAGAAAAGCAAUUUGCACUAAUAUGAUUAUCUGGAAUGUGAAAAAAACUAGAAAGGUCCAAACUGGUCAUUAAGCCAUGGAAUUUAUACGUGAAGGAAUAACAGCUCACACUGUGGCAGCAGCUGCCGGUUGCCUCCCUGGAUCCAUCUCUCUUCCACCCUUAGAAAAAACUUUAGCAGGGUACAUGGCUGCCCAGAAGAGAUAUUCCAUUUCCCAAUAUCCCUUGCAACUAGGUGUGGCCUUGUGACCAAGUUCUGGCCAAAGGGAUAUAAACAGAACAGUCAUCUGUGACACAUGUCAUUACAGAGAGGAGCAUGCCCCUCCUGGAGCUUUCUUCCUUCCCGCUGGCCGGAAUGCAGUUGUGAUCAUUUGAGUUUCAGCAGCCACCUUGGGCCAUUUGGAGGAAGGCAUCUGCUGUGCAUGGCAGAGUCACGUGAAAGAAGGAAGCUGAUUCAUUAUCACCAGGUCACCGUGUCAGCCCUGGACUGCCUACUUCUGAACUUUUUACUUGAGGGAUUAAAGUAACCCUGGGUGUUUAAUCAUUGUUAAUUUGGAUUUUCUGCCAUUAAUAACCAAAUCAAGUUCUAACUGAUAGAAACACGCAGGGAAAAAACGUUGAAUGGAAAAGUAGGCACAAAAGUGGAUGUUCUUCAUGGAUCCCAGCUAUUUAAGUUAUAGAUUGGUACAGAGAUGGUGAUUGAAUGGUGAGUCAUCAAUAAUAGUGUGAUGGUGUUGAUUGGAUUUUUCCCUCUGUAAACAAGUUUAGUUGCUGAAUCGGUCAGGAGAGGCUAGGUUAUGCUGAGGUGACAAGCAACUCCUAAAUUUCAGGGCCGUAAGACAACUCAAUUUAAUUCUUACUCUCCAUGUUCGUCGUGGGUCAGCAGGAGGCUGUGCUCAUGGCAGUCACUCAGAGCACUGGCUGACAGAGACGCUGUGACAGAGGGCAAGAGAGAACGCUGGAAGGUCUCGCUCUCACCAGGAAUUAAAUGCCACGGCCUGAAAGUGACACUUUCAUGGUGCUCACAACUCAUUGGCCAGGACCAGUCCUAGAACCUGGCCCACCCACAUGGAGGCAACGAGUGCAACUCUGCCACCUGCCCAGAAGGCGGCGAGCUGGAGAGACUUGGCAGAUUGCACCAGUGAUGAUCACAGAUACAUCAUGAAGAAAACGUAAGAGCACAAACAUUUGUGAAAUAAUUUUUAGAAGUCCUUCCAGAAAAAGUAAAGUUUUAUGUUUCUAUAAG